ACAGUUGGAAACGACUGCUAAUACCGCAUAAGCCCACGGCUCGGCAUCGAGCAGAGGGAAAAGGAGCAAUCCGCUUUGAGAUGGCCUCGCGUCCGAUUAGCUAGUUGGUGAGGUAACGGCCCACCAAGGCGACGAUCGGUAGCCGGACUGAGAGGUUGAACGGCCACAUUGGGACUGAGACACGGCCCAGACUCCUACGGGAGGCAGCAGUGGGGAAUAUUGCACAAUGGGGGAAACCCUGAUGCAGCGACGCCGCGUGGAGGAAGAAGGUCUUCGGAUUGUAAACUCCUGUUGUUGAGGAAGAUAAUGACGGUACUCAACAAGGAAGUGACGGCUAACUACGUGCCAGCAGCCGCGGUAAAACGUAGGUCACAAGCGUUGUCCGGAAUUACUGGGUGUAAAGGGAGCGCAGGCGGGAGAACAAGUUGGAAGUGAAAUCCAUGGGCUCAACCCAUGAACUGCUUUCAAAACUGUUUUUCUUGAGUAGUGCAGAGGUAGGCGGAAUUCCCGGUGUAGCGGUGGAAUGCGUAGAUAUCGGGAGGAACACCAGUGGCGAAGGCGGCCUACUGGGCACCAACUGACGCUGAGGCUCGAAAGUGUGGGUAGCAAACAGGAUUAGAUACCCUGGUAGUCCACACCGUAAACGAUGAUUACUAGGUGUUGGAGGAUUGACCCCUUCAGUGCCGCAGUUAACACAAUAAGUAAUCCACCUGGGGAGUACGACCGCAAGGUUGAAACUCAAAGGAAUUGACGGGGGCCCGCACAAGCAGUGGAGUAUGUGGUUUAAUUCGACGCAACGCGAAGAACCUUACCAAGUCUUGACAUCCCUUGACGAUGCUGGAAACAGUAUUUCUCUUCGGAGCAAGGAGACAGGUGGUGCAUGGUUGUCGUCAGCUCGUGUCGUGAGAUGUUGGGUUAAGUCCCGCAACGAGCGCAACCCUUAUGGUCAGUUACUACGCAAGAGGACUCUGGCCAGACUGCCGUUGACAAAACGGAGGAAGGUGGGGAUGACGUCAAAUCAUCAUGCCCUUUAUGACUUGGGCUACACACGUACUACAAUGGCGUUAAACAAAGAGAAGCAAGACCGCGAGGUGGAGCAAAACUCAGAAACAACGUCCCAGUUCGGACUGCAGGCUGCAACUCGCCUGCACGAAGUCGGAAUUGCUAGUAAUCGUGGAUCAGCAUGCCACGGUGAAUACGUUCCCGGGCCUUGUACACACCGCCCGUCACACCAUGAGAGCCGGGGGGACCCGAAGUCGGUAGUCUAACC
rnacentral:rRNA from 1 species